AGUGAACGCUGGCGGUAGGCCUAACACAUGCAAGUCGAACGGCAGCACAUUAAGAGCUUGCUCUUACGGGUGGCGAGUGGCGGACGGGUGAGGAAUACAUCGGAAUCUACUUUUUCGUGGGGGAUAACGUAGGGUAACUUACGCUAAUACCGCAUACGACCUACGGGUGAAAGCAGGGGAUCUUCGGACCUUGCGCGAUUGAAUGAGCCGAUGUCGGAUUAGCUAGUUGGCGGGGUAAAGGCCCACCAAGGCGACGAUCCGUAGCUGGUCUGAGAGGAUGAUCAGCCACACUGGAACUGAGACACGGUCCAGACUCCUACGGGAGGCAGCAGUGGGGAAUAUUGGACAAUGGGCGCAAGCCUGAUCCAGCCAUACCGCGUGGGUGAAGAAGGCCUUCGGGUUGUAAAGCCCUUUUGUUGGGAAAGAAAAGCAGCAGGUUAAUACCCCGCUGUUCUGACGGUACCCAAAGAAUAAGCACCGGCUAACUUCGUG
rnacentral:rRNA from 1 species